rnacentral:tRNA from 1 species
GCCUUUGUGGUGCAGUGGUCAGCAAGUUCGACGCGUAACCGAGAGGUCCGUGGUUCGAUUCCCGGCGAAGGCA